UAACUGGGCCGGGUCUGGAGGGGCGCCACCCCUCCCCCUCCACGCGGGGGCCGUAGGUCUGCGGGGGCCGAAACCCCACGCAGCCGUUGGUUGGCCCAGUGUCGGGCCAUGGGUACCGCAGUGAUGGCCAGCCCCCUGAGACGCCCACCACCCACGCCCACAGCCGUAGGGUUGUGGGUAGUGGGGCUCCGGUGAACCGGGUUAGGCCCGGGAGGGAGCGGCCCUAAGCCGGGGUGGGUGUGUUCAGGGGUCCACUGGCCUGAGCAUGGGCCCAUGGCUACGGCUGAGGUCAGUCAACGGUUGCGUGGGGGUUGGGCCCAUUA
rfam:Caldivirga sp. CIS_19 scf1118685652666, whole genome shotgun sequence.